GAUGAACGCUGGCGGCGUGCCUAAUACAUGCAAGUCGAGCGAACGGACGAGAAGCUUGCUUCUCUGAUGUUAGCGGCGGACGGGUGAGUAACACGUGGAUAACCUACCUAUAAGACUGGGAUAACUUCGGGAAACCGGAGCUAAUACCGGAUAAUAUAUUGAACCGCAUGGUUCAAUAGUGAAAGACGGUUUUGCUGUCACUUAUAGAUGGAUCCGCGCUGCAUUAGCUAGUUGGUAAGGUAACGGCUUACCAAGGCAACGAUGCGUAGCCGACCUGAGAGGGUGAUCGGCCACACUGGAACUGAGACACGGUCCAGACUCCUACGGGAGGCAGCAGUAGGGAAUCUUCCGCAAUGGGCGAAAGCCUGACGGAGCAACGCCGCGUGAGUGAUGAAGGUCUUCGGAUCGUAAAACUCUGUUAUUAGGGAAGAACAUAUGUGUAAGUAACUGUGCACAUCUUGACGGUACCUAAUCAGAAAGCCACGGCUAACUACGUG
rnacentral:rRNA from 1 species